CAGCCGCCGCGGUAAUACCGGCGGCCCGAGUGGCGGCCACUAUUAUUGGGCUUAAAGCGUCCGUAGCCGGGUUGGUUAGUCUCCCGGGAAAUCUGGCCGCUUAACGGUCAGAAUUCCGGGAGAUACUGCCAGCCUAGGGACCGGGAGAGGCCGAGGGUAUUCCCGGAGUAGGGGUGAAAUCCUAUAAUCCCGGGAGGACCACCUGUGGCGAAGGCGCUCGGCUGGAACGGGUCCGACGGUGAGGGACGAAGGCCAGGGGAGCAAACCGGAUUAGAUACCCGGGUAGUCCUGGCUGUAAACGAUGCGGACUUUGUGUCGGACAAGCUAUGAGCUUGUCCGGUGCCGGAGGGAAACCGUUAAGUCCGCCGCCUGGGGAGUACGGCCGCAAGGCUGAAACUUAAAGGAAUUGGCUGG
rnacentral:rRNA from 1 species